CCUACCUCAGGUGGUUGGUUCCUUGUGGUGGAACCAGCCCACCCAGGUUCAAGUCUCCGAUUUGACGUGGGUGCUCGCAUUUUCCUGGAUUUAUUCCAGGAACUAACCGGCGUUGUGUUUUCAGUGGAAGUGACGUACCCAUCAACUACGAGGCGAGGCACCUGUGGUGACUUCGUCAAUCUCAAGAGGAUGUGCCGGACCAGUCUUUCGAAGAUGCUCAUAGGAGUAAAGCGUGUGUGCGUGUAUUCAUAGGGGUGAGUGUGUGUGCG
rnacentral:lncRNA from 1 species